CACGUAGGGGCCAAGCGUUGUCCGGAUUUAUUGGGCGUAAAGAGCUCGUAGGCGGCUCGGUAAGUCGGGUGUGAAACCUCCAGGCUCAACCUGGAGACGCCACCCGAUACUGCUGUGGCUAGAGUCCGGUAGGGGAGCGUGGAAUUCCUGGUGUAGCGGUGAAAUGCGCAGAUAUCAGGAGGAACACCAGUGGCGAAGGCGGCUUUCUGGUCUGUAACUGACGCUGAGGCGCGAAAGCGUGGGGAGCAAACAGG
rnacentral:rRNA from 1 species